AGUCUCUCAUUGACUAUUAUUUUAAUUGUGUUUUUCUAAAAAUGGCAAAAUGGAUGAGUAUAAGCUUGAAAGUCGACGGAUAGUGUUAAAAAUAGCAGUUGAUCGUAGUUAUUGUAACGAAUUUGGCACCAGCUUCUACAUAGUCAAGUGUGAAGUUGGGAAGCUACGAAUUCGGGAAGUGGGGGUGGUGGUUAAAAUGAUCUGCACUAUGUAUUACGAACAUUUUUGUUUUAAGAUUUUUUGGUACAUUUUGUAUGUGACGGGGCAGAAGAUGGUGAAACUCACGUACCCAUUUGCAGAGGCACAUCAUAUAAUUGGACUACCUAAAUCAUAUGAUUAGGCUACCAAAAAACUGGAAAAAGAGAAUAGAUACAACACAUAAUUUGAUCUCAAAAGUUCCACACUACAACACUGUGAAAAGGAAAAAAUUCCAAAGUUCUGUCAACAAUUCAAGUUGACCAUAAAGAUAUCACAAGAGACUUCUCAACCAAUGGUCACUAGCCAGGGAUGAAGACCAGCCGCUCCUCAUGCACUAGGUCAAAGAAUGAGCAUGGUUUUUUUUCCUUUCAAAUAGAUAUUGUGACAUUUUUAAUGGGGCAAUAAAAAGGUUAGCUUUGAUGUAUUAUCCGUUUCCCUUUGGUAACUUUAAAGAGUUCCGCUUGUCUUUCACACUGUCUAAUUUAGUUUAAUGCCAACAUUUAUAUCAUGAGUUUACUUGUAUAAUUUUAAGCUGUGAUCUUAAGGUCAUGGGUUCAAGCCGUGGGAAACAACCUCCUGCACAAGGUAUAGGGUAAGGUUGCGUACAUCAAAUCGCAAAGCGAUCCUGCCCCUCCCUGGACCCUGUGCAACUGCGGAAGUUAAGUCAAGCACCGGGUACACCCUUUACUAUAACAAGGUGUAUUUUUUUUUAAUUAUUAGUUUUGUUUGAUGCUUCACUAAUGAAUUUUUUGUCGAUAUCAUAUAAACGAACUCUUCUGAACUGAAUAAGAACUUGGUGGUUGAUUGUUUGUUGACCAUUAAAUUUGGAUAAAUGUGAAUUUUGGUAACCUAUUUCACGUAGAUAAGUAAGAAACUUUAAUUCUGCAUAACAAGGUGGUAUGCCUUUACUUGUACAUACUUUGGGGUCUAAUUCAAGUAAGUUAUCAUGACAUCCAACCUUUUAGAUGUGAGCUUUUGUACGUUGGCCUAAAACCCAAGGUAGAAUUCUUGAAAUUGAUGAAAAGAGUGAUAUAUAAAUGCAGGCAGUGGCGGAUCCAGGAAUUUUUUCCAAUGGGUUCACUUUUUCAAAUGUCCCAAUAUAAAUAUGGGUCGGUUCGACAAUUCGGGUCGUGUAAAGUUUAUCACAUAAUAAAAAAUACAAUACAAUAAUGAAAAAGCCAUUUUAAUGAUAAAUUUAAAAACACAUAAUAUAAAUAGAAUGGUCUUUACAAAUGAACAAACAUAUAAAAAGAAUGUCUUUUUUUUGUAUAUCUUAAAGGAUUCUAAAGAAAGCCCCACCAUCGUUCUCAAAACACAAGGCUACUUAUAAUGUGACAACUGUCAAAUUUACAUGCAUCCGUACAAUUAUUAAACAAUGAUUAGUGCUUAAUGACUAUGCUGAAUUACAAUUAAUUACUUGAAUUGCUCUCUGACUAUUUCCAUAUACAUACACAUGCAUCAUAUAUUGCAAAUGACAUAUCAUUACUGUAUGCAAACUUUGUUGAUUCGAAUGAUGCACGAAACACUGGCAACACAGUUAUCAGACAA